UGUCCUUAGGGUAUAACGUCCUAGGACACCUGGACACCCUACUGGCGUAAAAAGAAGAAAAAAAAAGAAAAGAAAAAAAGCCUGAAAAAAAAGAAAAAGGGAUAAAAAGCCGUAAAAGCCUGUCCAUAAUAUUCAUCAAUCUGCCCCACUAUAUAAAAUAGUCAUCAAUUUAAAAAAGGUAAUGAGGCUGUAUGGUAUUUCUUUGUGUUACAACUCUUGGCCAUUAACCGUAGGACGAUGAUAAAUUUUUGCGCAUUUUCAAGGCCUCCCCCUUUUCCCCCCAUUCAAUGUUGACGUUUCGCCUAUAUUUAUGGUUUAACAUAUUGUACAGACAAAAUGUUACGUGUAGUAGAAAUGUGGGAAAGCAACAUUGAAUGGGGGGAUUGGGGGGAGGUACAAUAUAAUUUUAAAACCCAAGUAUAUUAAAAAGUGGCGAAUUGGUUUAGUCGUUCUACGAACUUUUGGCCAAGAUUGUAGUCUUUAGCAUACCUAGCCUGCGAACAGGC